UACGAAGGGGGCUAGCGUUGCCCGGAAUUACUGGGCGUAAAGCGCACGUAGGCGGUUUUCUAAGUCGGGGGUGAAAUCCUGGAGCUCAACUCCAGAACUGCCUUCGAUACUGGAGAGCUUGAGUCCGGGAGAGGUGAGUGGAACUGCGAGUGUAGAGGUGAAAUUCGUAGAUAUUCGCAAGAACACCAGUGGCGAAGGCGGCUCACUGGCCCGGUACUGACGCUGAGGUGCGAAAGCGUGGGGAGCAAACAGG
rnacentral:rRNA from 1 species